rnacentral:rRNA from 1 species
AAUCUGCCCUUUGGCGGGGACAACAGCUCGAAAGGGUUGCUAAUACCGCAUACGUCUUUAUCGGCCCCGGUCGGUAGAGGGAAAGAUGGCCUCUUCUUGAAAGCUAUCACCAGAGGAUGAGUCCGCGUAGCAUCAGCUUGUUGGUGGGGUAAUGGCCUACCAAGGCUAAGACGCUUAGCUGGUCUGAGAGGAUGAUCAGCCACACUGGGACUGAGAUACGGCCCAG